GUGGGGAAUAUUGCACAAUGGGCGCAAGCCUGAUGCAGCAACGCCGCGUGAGGGACGACGGCCUUCGGGUUGUAAACCUCUUUUAGUAGGGAAGAAGCGAAAGUGACGGUACCUGCAGAAAAAGCACCGGCUAACUACGUGCCAGCAGCCGCGGUAAUACGUAGGGUGCAAGCGUUAUCCGGAAUUAUUGGGCGUAAAGAGCUCGUAGGCGGUCUGUCGCGUCUGCUGUGAAAACUGGAGGCUCAACCUCCAGCCUGCAGUGGGUACGGGCAGACUAGAGUGCGGUAGGGGAGAUUGGAAUUCCUGGUGUAGCGGUGGAAUGCGCAGAUAUCAGGAGGAACACCGAUGGCGAAGGCAGAUCUCUGGGCCGUAACUGACGCUGAGGAGCGAAAGCGUGGGGAGCGAACAGGAUUAGAUACCCGUGUAGUCC
rnacentral:rRNA from 1 species